AGAGAGCAAGCCAUGGUUGCCAAUGGCUUUUUUUGGAUGUCUAUGGUGGUAUAUUGACUAAUCUGUAUAGAGCAAAGGGGGAUGGGUAGAUCGGAGUGAGGGAAGGCUUUGAGUUGAAAGGUGUGGAAAGGACCCUCCCAAGACUUCUCAUACCCUCUUCCGUCCCUUCCAAGAUCACAGCCAAGCAUAUGAAGGUUGAGAGAAGGAGUCUGUAAGUUGCGAUACAUAGGCUUCAACGUUCACAGAUUAUAGCGAUUGAGUCAUUGCAUUAGAACG